rnacentral:rRNA from 1 species
CCUACGGGAGGCUGCAGUGGGGAAUAUUGCACAAUGGGCGCAAGCCUGAUGCAGCCAUGCCGCGUGUGUGAAGAAGGCCUUCGGGUUGUAAAGCACUUUCGGCGGGGAGGAAGGCGGUGAGGUUAAUAACCUCAUCGAUUGACGUUACCCGCAGAAGAAGCACCGGCUAACUCCGUGCCAGCAGCCGCGGUAAUACGGAGGGUGCAAGCGUUAAUCGGAAUUACUGGGCGUAAAGCGCACGCAGGCGGUCUGUCAAGUCGGAUGUGAAAUCCCCGGGCUCAACCUGGGAACUGCAUUCGAAACUGGCAGGCUAGAGUCUUGUAGAGGGGGGUAGAAUUCCAGGUGUAGCGGUGAAAUGCGUAGAGAUCUGGAGGAAUACCGGUGGCGAAGGCGGCCCCCUGGACAAAGACUGACGCUCAGGUGCGAAAGCGUGGGGAGCAAACAGGAUUAGAUACCCCGGUAGUC